rnacentral:rRNA from 1 species
AACCCUCAAGCUCAGCUUGGUAUUGAGUCCAUGUCAGUAAUGGCAGUCUCUAAAAUCAGUGGCGGCGCCGCUGGGUCCUGAACGUAGUAAUAUCUUUCGUUACAGGUUCUCAGUGUGCUUCUGCAAAACCCAAUUUUUCUAUGGUU